rnacentral:lncRNA from 1 species
GGAUAAGCGAUAGCAUAGGAUGGACUGGACUGAGGGAUUCACACAUGAAUGGGAUCCAAGGAUAUGAAUCAAUUUAGGGAUUUAUUUGAUUUCCGCUAGCACUUGAUUUUGUUUUGUUUUCGGUGUAUGCCCACUCGGGCAUAUGGAUCUUGUUGAUUGUUAAGUUAAAUUUGAGGGUAAUAUUUUAAGUUUUAAAUUAAGGAAAAAU